AGAGUUUGAUCCUGGCUCAGAACGAACGCUGGCGGCGUGCCUAACACAUGCAAGUCGAACGGRAUUUGAGAGCUUGCUCUUAAAUUUAGUGGCGCACGGGUGAGUAACGCGUAGAUAAUCUGCCUGAUGAUCUGGGAUAACACUUCGAAAGAGGUGCUAAUACCGGAUAAGCCCACGGRGUCUUUGGAUUCUGCGGGAAAAGGGGGGGACCUUCGGGCCUUCUGUCAUCAGAUGAGUCUGCGUACCAUUAGCUAGUUGGUAGGGUAAUGGCCUACCAAGGCWACGAUGGUUAGCKGGUCUGAGAGGAUGAUCCGCCACACUGGAACUGAAACACGGACCAGACUCCUACGGGAGGCAGCAGUGAGGAAUAUUGCGCAAUGGGGGAAACCCUGACGCAGCGACGCCGCGUGGAUGAUGAAGGCCUUCGGGUCGUAAAAUCCUGUCAGAUGGAAAGAAAUGCAUGGUGGCUAAUACCUGCCAUGUUUGACGGUACCAUCGAAGGAAGCACCGGCUAACUCCGUGCCAGCAGCCGCGGUAAUACGGAGGGUGCAAGCGUUGUUCGGAAUUACUGGGCGUAAAGCGCGCGUAGGCGGUUUGCUAAGUCAGAUGUGAAAGCCCAUGGCUCAACCAUGGACGUGCAUUUGAAACUGGCAGACUUGAGUAUUGGAGGGGGUGGUGGAAUUCCCGGUGUAGAGGUGAAAUUCGUAGAUAUCGGGAGGAAUACCGGUGGCGAAGGCGACCACCUGGCCAAAUACUGACGCUGAGGYGCGAAAGCGUGGGGAGCAAACAGGAUUAGAUACCCUGGUAGUCC
rnacentral:rRNA from 1 species